AUGUCGACGGCAAUACGAAGACUGAUUAAAAGCACAAAGGCAAUCAAAACGUACAGGAGAACAUGCGAAGGAGACGCAUUCCUCCACGGGAGGAUGCAGUCUGUCAUGUUUCUGCUGGAAGGGACAAACUGGGACUUGAUAUCCACUACAUAAAUGCCUUCAAAGGUCGGGGCAUUUUCACGACUGUUCCAUUCCAAAAAGGAGACUUCCUUUUGGAAUACAGAGGUAAACUCAUAACAAAAGAAGAAUGUGAGCGGAGACACAGAGUUUAUCAUGACAGCCUGAAGGUGUUCAUGUUUGAAUUCAAGUUUGAUGGAAAACUCUGGUGUGUGGAUGCAUCUCAAGAAGAUGGGUCAUUAGGCAGACUUGUCAACGACAACCACAUCAGUCCAAGUGCUAAGAUGAA